rnacentral:rRNA from 1 species
GCUAUACAUGCAGUCGAGCGGAGUGAUUUGGGAGCUUGCUCCUGAAUCACUUAGCGGCGGACGGGUGAGUAACACGUAGGCAACCUGCCCCCUAGAUCGGGAUAACAUUCGGAAACGAAUGCUAAGACCGGAUAGACAGUCUUCUCGCAUGAGAGGACUGGGAAACACGGAGCAAUCUGUGGCUAGGGGAUGGGCCUGCGGCGCAUUAGCUAGUUGGUGGGGUAACGGCUCACCAAGGCGACGAUGCGUAGCCGACCUGAGAGGGUGAACGGCCACACUGGGACUGAGACACGGCCCAGACUCCUACGGGAGGCAGCAGUAGGGAAUCUUCCACAAUGGGCGAAAGCCUGAUGGAGCAACGCCGCGUGAGUGAGGAAGGCUUUCGGGUCGUAAAGCUCUGUUGCCAGGGAAGAAUAAGGGCUAGUUAACUGCUAGUCCGAUGACGGUACCUGAGAAGAAAGCCCCGGCUAACUACGUGCCAGCAGCCGCGGUAAUACGUAGGGGGCAAGCGUUGUCCGGAAUUAUUGGGCGUAAAGCGCGCGCAGGCGGUUCUUUAAGUCUGGUGUCUAAGUGCGGGGCUCAACCCCGUGAUGCACUGGAAACUGGAGGACUUGAGUGCAGAAGAGGAGAGCGGAAUUCCACGUGUAGCGGUGAAAUGCGUAGAGAUGUGGAGGAACACCAGUGGCGAAGGCGGCUCUCUGGACUGUAACUGACGCUGAGGCGCGAAAGCGUGGGGAGCAAACAGGAUUAGAUACCCUGGUAGUCCACGCCGUAAACGAUGAGUGCUAGGUGUUGGGGGU